rnacentral:tRNA from 1 species
GCAGUCAUGGCCGAGUGGUUAAGGCAAUGGACAGGAAAUCCAUUGGGGUCUCCCCACACAGGUUCGAAUCCUGUCGACUGCG